rnacentral:rRNA from 1 species
AUACGGAGGGAGCGAGCGUUAAUCGGAAUUACUGGGCGUAAAGCGCGCGUAGGCGGCUUUGUAAGUCGGAUGUGAAAGCCCAGGGCUCAACCCUGGAAUUGCAUUCGAUACUGCAUGGCUAGAGUAUGGUAGAGGGAAGUGGAAUUUCCGGUGUAGCGGUGAAAUGCGUAGAUAUCGGAAGGAACACCAGUGGCGAAGGCGACUUCCUGGGCCAAUUCUGACGCUGAGGUGCGAAAGCGUGGGGAGCAAACAGGAUUAGAAACCCCAGUAGUCC